ensembl:snoRNA SNORA62 Small nucleolar RNA SNORA62/SNORA6 family
UUAGAACACUGCCUAACACCAUACACAAAAAUAAACUCCAAACUCACAAGUGUAGGUAGUGUGCUACAUGAGGGGCAAGUUUUUCGCUAACAUCACAAGGGUCUCUGGCCCAAUGAGUGGAGUUUGAUAGUAAUACUUGCUACAAAU